rnacentral:rRNA from 1 species
UGGGGAAUAUUGCACAAUGGGGGAAACCCUGAUGCAGCGACGCCGCGUGGGUGAAGAAGUUUUUCGGAAUGUAAAGCCCUAUCAGCAGGGAAGAUAAUGACGGUACCUGACUAAGAAGCCCCGGCUAACUACGUGCCAGCAGCCGCGGUAAUACGUAGGGGGCAAGCGUUAUCCGGAUUUACUGGGUGUAAAGGGAGCGUAGACGGAAUAGCAAGUCUGAAGUGAAAUCAUAGGGCUCAACCCUGUAAUUGCUUUGGAAACUGUUGAUCUUGAGUACCGGAGGGGCAGGCGGAAUUCCUGGUGUAGCGGUGAAAUGCGUAGAUAUCAGGAAGAACACCGGUGGCGAAGGCGGCCUGCUGGACGGAAACUGACGUUGAGGCUCGAAAGCGUGGGGAGCAAACAGGAUUAGAUACCCUGGUA